rnacentral:rRNA from 1 species
GACGAACGCUGGCGGCGUGCUUAACACAUGCAAGUCGAACGCAGUGGCGAACGGGUGAGUCACGCGUAAUCAACCUGCCCUUCAGCGGGGGACAACAGUUGGAAACGACUGCUCAUACCGCAUACUGAAGGCGGGGAUUGCGUCUGAUUAGCUAGUUGGAGGGGUAACGGCCCACCAAGGCGAUGAUCAGUAGCCGGUCUGAGGGUAUGAACGGCCACAUUGUGACUGAGAAACGGCCCAGACUCCUAAGGGAGGCAGCAGUGGGGAAUCUUCCGCAAUGGACGAAAGUCUGACGAAGCAACGCCGCGUGAGUGAGGACGGCCUUCGGGUUGUAAAGCUCUGUUAAUCGGGACGCGGUACCGGAAUAGAAAGCCACGGCUAACGACGUGCCAGCAGCCGCGGUAAUAC